CAGCAGCCGCGGUAAUACAGAGGGUGCGAGCGUUAAUCGGAUUUACUGGGCGUAAAGCGUGCGUAGGCGGCUUCUUAAGUCGGAUGUGAAAUCCCUGAGCUUAACUUAGGAAUUGCAUUCGAUACUGGGAAGCUAGAGUAUGGGAGAGGAUGGUAGAAUUCCAGGUGUAGCGGUGAAAUGCGUAGAGAUCUGGAGGAAUACCGAUGGCGAAGGCAGCCAUCUGGCCUAAUACUGACGCUGAGGUACGAAAGCAUGGGGAGCAAACAGGAUUAGAUACCCCUGUUGUCCCUGUCUCUUAUAC
rnacentral:rRNA from 1 species